rnacentral:lncRNA from 1 species
ACCAUCAUGCUUCUCAUGCAUCAGUCUGUUAUGGUACAAUGAACCCUUGACGGUUAGAAGUACAGAUUUGAAAUCAAACAAAGUAUCUUCAUGGAACAUUAUAUAGUUGAUAAGUUAAUUUGUAACACGAUUGUAAAAACCAAGGAAAAAUACUUCAUGGAACAUGUGGUUAUGUCCAUGAUCUAUCGCACAUGCUUCACCUGAAGUUAUACAAUCAAAAAUACUAAAUCUUCAAAGUAAACAGACAAACACGAAAUAUUGUUAUUGCAUUUGGAAUCAUCAGAACAAUGAAAAUUUGGGUUUCUUACCAUACCAGAGAGAAGGACAUGCUAUACGUGGAUAUGUAUUCUUUAUAGUCCUACACAACCCGGGCCAGAUUGUCUUAAUAUGGUUCUUAGUCGAAAUACCACAUGUCGGCACUUUUAAUUCUCUGAUACGAUACAUCCGUCUUCAUUACCAUACAUACUGAAAGAGACCUGACUAAUUCUCCAUGCUAACUUCAAAGUCUCCUGAACUUUGCAGAAAUGACUUCAGGAAGUUACCUAGAAGCAAAGUGAAGACAUGGACCCGAAUAUUUGCCGCAAAGAAUCAUACCAUGCAGGAGGGUCAAAAAUUCUGAUCAUGGGAAAGGUAUGCUCACCUCCCACUAUGAGAACAGUUACUCCCAUCUGAGUAACUGGCCCAACCUUAGAUAGAAAAGUCUUUCCAGUGCUGGUGGUGGGUAGUUUGUGAGAAUAACGUAUAAUACAUGAAGGCCGUCUAUAGCAUAUUUUCCAUGGUUACUGCAGUUCCCCUGCGAUAAAAACCUAAAAAGAAAAAAAUGACAUCUAGAUAUGUGCAGAUCAUGCAAGAGUAAGCAUUAGUAUACCAGUUACAGGCCCUAAACUUAUGCUCUGAUACUUUUCCCAUGUACGAUUUUAGAACUACCAAAUGGUUCUUGAAGUACUCCUUCUCAAGUGUGGGGGAGCUUCUCUUGGAUAUCAGGUGGGAGGUCAAGAAGUUUACACCCUACUCUCCACGCCAGAGCACGCAUAAUAUCUGCUCUGUUUUGCCUGCACACAAUGAUACCAAGUCGCAAAAACAGUUAGAGAUUCUGGAAUUUGUGUUGUCUCGAUAAGGAAAAGUGAUUUGUUAUUGACACAUAGACAUUCCAAAAUGGAUUAGUAGUGACACAAGAAUAAAUAAAAUAUCUUGAUGUAGUUGUUAGAAUGAUGCUUAUCCCAGUCGUAUAUGUGAUAUGCAUGCAUAUGGAUAUAUUGCUUAAGACAUCUGUCUUGAAAAAACAUAAGAUUUGGAGAUAGAAAUAGUACCCAUAAUUUGAUAAACUGAUCAAGAUCUUCUUAGAACAUAAACAUAUUGAAUAUAAACUAACCCCGUACUAUCAAGCCUUAAUAAACUUACAUCAGGCCUUGGCCAUCUCCAAAGAUCAAUUUGAGUCCCACCUGCCAAAUCACACACACAAAAUCACUCUUAACUCUGCCUAACAAUAAAUCAAUGAACCCCAAUAACUUAUUCUUCUCUGAAGUUUUGAAAAAGUGAGAAGUGGCCUUACAGCAGUGGAUAUAAUCAAAUAACAAUCUGUGAUUCUGAGAUGCUCCAACGUGGAAAACCUCUGCGAAGUUGAAAAGUUAAAGGUCAUAGGCGAUCCAGAAGACCUCAAAUAAAACAAAUGCUUUUCCUAAACUUUAACCCAAAAGGACAAACGAUUAAUUGCAAAAUCACUGAAACUUGGAGAAAAAGAAAAGAGGAAAAAUCUCGGAAGAAUUGAAAGUAAGACGACGUUAGAAUCAGAAUCGUGAAGGUGAGAAGACCAAGGGAUAUCACGAUUUCACAAUUAAGAGUUAAAGACCAAAGCUCAUUCAACAUAAC